rnacentral:rRNA from 1 species
CUCCCGUUGAUCCCGCCGGACCCGACUGCUAUCAGAGUGGGACUAAGCCAUGCGAGUCAACGCCGCAAGGCGUGGCAUACGGCUCAGUAACACGUAGUCAACAUGCCCAGGGGACGUGGAUAACCUCGGGAAACUGAGGAUAAACCGCGAUAGGUCAUCACUUCUGGAAUGGGUAAUGACUUAAAUCUAUAUGGCCCCUGGAUUGGACUGCGGCCGAUCAGGCUGUUGGUGAGGUAAUGGCCCACCAAACCUGUAACCGGUACGGGCUCUGAGAGGAGGAGCCCGGAGAUGGGCACUGAGACAAGGGCCCAGGCCCUAUGGGGCGCAGCAGGCGCGAAACCUCUGCAAUAGGCGAAAGCUUGACAGGGUUACUCUGAGUGAUUUCCGUUAAGGAGAUCUUUUGGCACCUCUAAAAAUGGUGCAGAAUAAGGGGUGGGCAAGUCUGGUGUCAGCCGCCGCGGUAAUACCAGCACCCCGAGUGGUCGGGACGUUUAUUGGGCCUAAAGCAUCCGUAGCCGGUUCUACAAGUCUUCCGUUAAAUCCACCUGCUUAACAGAUGGGCUGCGGAAGAUACUAUAGAGCUAGGAGGCGGGAGAGGCAAGCGGUACUCGAUGGGUAGGGGUAAAAUCCGUUGAUCCAUUGAAGACCACCAGUGGCGAAGGCGGCUUGCCAGAACGCGCUCGACGGUGAGGGAUGAAAGCUGGGGGAGCAAACCGGAUUAGAUACCCGGGUAGUCCCAGCUGUAAACGAUGCAGACUCGGUGAUGAGUUGGCUUAUUGCUAACUCAGUGCCGCAGGGAAGCCGUUAAGUUUGCCGCCUGGGGAGUACGGUCGCAAGACUGAAACUUAAAGGAAUUGGCGGGGGAGCA